GUAGGGAAUAUUGGGCAAUGGAGGCAACUCUGACCCAGCCAUGCCGCGUGCAGGAAGACGGUCCUCUGGAUUGUAAACUGCUUUUGAAUGGGAAGAACAUACGGUUUGCGAACCGUACUGACGGUACUAUUAGAAUAAGCACCGGCUAACUCCGUGCCAGCAGCCGCGGUAAUACGGAGGGUGCAAGCGUUAUCCGGAUUUAUUGGGUUUAAAGGGUGCGUAGGCGGCCUUAUAAGUCGGUGGUUAAAGGUAGCAGCUUAACUGUUUUACAUGCCAUCGAUACUGUAGGGCUUGAGUGAUUUGGAGGUAGCUAGAAUUCCCUGUGUAGCGGUGAAAUGCAUAGAUACGGGGAGGAAUACCGAUUGCGAAGGCAUGUUACUACGAAUUAACUGACGCUGAGGCACGAAAGCGUGGGGAUCAAACAGGAUUAGAAACCCCUGUAGUCC
rnacentral:rRNA from 1 species